rnacentral:rRNA from 1 species
UCGAGAAUCUUCCGCAAUGGGCGAAAGCCUGACGGAGCGACGCCGCGUGGAGGACGAAGGCCCUCGGGUUGUAAACUCCUGUCACAGGUGAUGAAUGAGCGUACGUUAAUAGCGUGCGAAUUGACGUAAGCCUGAGAGGAAGCACCGGCUAACUCCGUGCCAGCAGCCGCGGCAAUACGGAGGGUGCAAACGUUGUUCGGAAUUACUGGGCAUAAAGAGCUCGUAGGCGGCUGUGCAAGUGUGGAGUGAAAUCCCACGGCUCACCCGUGGAACUGCUUUGCAGACUGCACGGCUAGAGGAUGGUAGGGGAGAGCGGAACUCCUGGUGGAGCGGUGAAAUGCGUAGAUAUCAGGAGGAACACCGGUGGCGAAGGCGGCUCUCUGGUCCACCCCUGACGCUGAGGAGCGAAAGCCAGGGUAGCGAACGGGAUUAGAUACCCCCGUAGUCC